rnacentral:rRNA from 1 species
GACGAACGCUGGCGGCGUGCUUAACACAUGCAAGUCGAACGGAAAGGCCCUUCUUUUUUUGGUUUCUCGAUUGGCGAACGUGUGUGUUACACGUGUGUAUCCUUCCCUUCACUUUUUUAUAUCUUCAUGAAACUUCGGCUCAUACCGGAUAUGUUCUCCUGCUGCAUGUUGGUCUUUUGAAAGUUUCGGCGUUUGGGGAUGGUCUCGCUGCUUAUCAGCUUGUUUGUGGGGUAGUUGCUUACCAAGGCUUUGACGGGUAGCCGGCCUGAGAGGGUGACCGGCGACAUGGGGACUGAGAGAAGGACCAGAAGAGAACGGGAGGGAGGAGUGGGGAAUAUGGAAGAAUGGGCGGAAGCGUGAUGAAGAAACGCGGCGUGCGGGAAGAAGGCAUACGGGUGGUAAAGAGAAGUAGAAUGUGAAGAAGAGUGAGUGACGGUAAUGGGUAAAGAAGCACCGGCUAACUACGUG